UUGGAGGGCAAGUCUGGUGCCAGCAGCCGCGGUAAUUCCAGCUCCAAUAGCGUAUAUUAAAGUUGUUGCAGUUAAAAAGCUCGUAGUUGAAUUUCGGGAUCAGCAAGUUGGUCGUGCCUCUGGUACGUACUGGCUUUACUGGUUCCUCCUUCUUGAAGAACUGUAAUGUCAUUAAUUUGGUGUUGCAGGGAAACAGGACUGUUACUUUGAAAAAAUUAGAGUGUUUAAAGCAAGCUAACGCUUGAAUACAUUAGCAUGGAAUAAUGAAAUAGGACGUUUGAUCCUAUUUCGUUGGUUUCUAGGAUCGACGUAAUGAUUAAUAGGGAUAGUUGGGGGCAUUAGUAUUCAAUUGUCAGAGGUGAAAUUUUUGGAUUUAUUGAAGACUAACUACUGCGAAAGCAUUUGCCAAGGAUGUUUUCAUUAAUCAAGAACGAAAGUUAGGGGAUCGAAGACGAUCAGAUACCGUCGUAGUCUUAACCAUAAACUAUGCCGACUAGGGAUCGGAUGAUGUUAAUUUUUUAAUGACUCAUUCGGCGCCUUACGGGAAAC
rnacentral:rRNA from 1 species